rnacentral:rRNA from 1 species
UUACGGCCAUAUCACGCUGAAAACACCGGUUCUCGUCCGAUCACCGAAGUUAAGCAACGUCGAGCCUGGUCAGUACUUGGAUGGGUGACCGCCUGGGAAUACCAGGUGCUGUAAG